GAGGUGCAGGCAUGUGGCCUCCUCCCGCCCCUGCCGUCCUGUCCUGUGUUGUCCCUGCUCACUGUGGCCGUGCCCCCACGACACCUGGCUCCAGGGCGGUCAGCUGGCCUGGGCCUCCCUGCCCCGCUCCAGCCCCGGGACGCCCGGCAGCUGGGCCUCUGUGCUCUCUGUAGUUCUGAAAGCUGGUUUGUGGGGCCUGCGGCCAGCACGCUCAACACCGGGCGGACUGUCCGCUGGCUUACAAAGGUCCCUCAGUGUCCGCUGGGGCUGGGGUCAGGGCAAGGGGGGGCGGGGCAUCGCCUUCCAGAAGCUUCCAGGGGCUAAAGACAGCUUGCUGGGCAGGUGAAGUGCCAAACUGCAGCUGUCGGAAACACUGUCAGCCUGAAGCUGUGGAAUGGUGUGAGACCCUGGCCCUCUGAAUAAAACAAGAGAAGCUUCUAGUCUAGCCCAGCAUGUGGGACGAGCCUGUGGGGCAAGAGAGGCAGGCGCCCCUGGACCUGCAUCGCUGCCUGGCCUGCUUGAGCCACGACCCCGACUUAGCAUCCCGAGUCAGUGUGUCUGUCCAUACCCCGGCCCAGCACCUCAGACCUGCCUCCCUGAGGCCACAUCCCCGCCCUCACAUCGCUGAACAAGACGCCUCAGAGAUUCAUGCCUGUCCCACCCAGUUCAGCAUCUCCCCGCCCAGAACCCACAUCCCGAGAUCGCUGAGCCCAGUGUCCCACCACGGGCUUCCCCACAGAUGCCGGCUGGGCCAUCUGGUUCGGCGCUGCUUCAACUUUUGAAGAGUCUGAAAACUUAACAACUAGAAAUUCUAAAGUUUCAAGUUGGCAGGUCUGGGUCCCCCCUCCUCUGUUCGCAGUUCCAGUGUCCUGGGGAAAUGCCACAAGUGCUUGAGCCCCAAAUGUCAAAUGCAAACAAAGGGAAUUAAAGAGCCAAGUAUACAAGACUUCUGAGGCAGUUGGCGCGUAAUCAGAGAGAGGUUGUUCUAUGUGGGGUGGACACUCAGGGCUGGUGGCACACACACAUCGCCAUGCACAGGGACCCUGGUUCAAGCCCCUGUUCCCUACCUGUGAGGGGGAAGCCUCCCUCCCUCUGUUCCCAUCUCUACCAGGAAUAAAUGAAUGAAUCUUUAAAAGUUUUGCGUGUGAUCUUUGAAAAAGUGAAGUCUGGUUUUCUCCAGAGCAU